UGGAUCUCAGCACAGAUCCUGGUGAAGAGGUAAGGCCAGAGUAAUGGAUCUCAGCACAGAUCCUGGUGAAGAGGUAAGGCCAGAGUAAUAGAUGUAGAAACAUACUGGUGAAGAGGUAAGGGCAGAGUAAUGGAUCUCAGCACAGAUCCUGGUGAAGAGGUAAGGCCAGAGUAAUGGAUCUCAGCACAGAUCCUGGAGAAGAGGUAAGGCCAGAGUAAUGGAUGUUGAAGAGGUACAAUCUUAGAUAAAAAGGUGCUAUCAAAAAGCGUUCUUCAGCUGUCCCCAUAGAUCAGUGGUCACCAACCGAUCUUUUGACUGGCCCAUCUUCAAGGCAUUCCUAGUCGAUCUACAAACAUUUAUGUAGAAGAAAAAAAACCUUAAGGCGAUUCUUUAAAAUAAUAUAUAUUAUUAGUGUAAAAAUAAAUAAAUAUAUAUAUAUAUUAUUCGUGUAAAAAUACAAAUUUAAAUAUAUAUUAUUAGUGAAAAAAGUCAAAAUAAAUAUGAAUAUAUAUUAUUAGUGCUCCGCUGUUAUAUCGGUUGGUGCACUUGAUUCAGAAGCCCUGCACACCAUUUAUAACCAUUUAAUUUGUCUGAAAAGACCAACUCUACCUACCUGGCGAACUGGGAGAUAUGUAGCUAAAUCGAGUGCGUAUACUGUGCUGGCCAAUUCGAUAGCUCACCUACCUUCCACGACCCCAGCCACAGCAACGUGUGAGAGCAGAUAUUAAAAUCUUACCCUACGAGGUCCUGAGUACUAGCUGAUAGUUAACUUCACCCACCUGGUUAUAGUUCCGUUUCAGUCUCUGAUUAAAAAGGGAGGAAUACAAAUCAGUGGAACUGGCUUCAGGGUCCUAGAGUCACACCCCAUUUAUACCCAAGGAGAGUAUGGAGGAAAGGAUCUGCCACAGAACAGCGCCUUUGGAACAUCUGAGGGUUUAACGGUCUUGCUCCUAGGGCAGAACAGCAGGAAAUGAGGACUAGGACAACUGAUGACAGCAAGUAAUAGCAGCAGUAGCCCACUGGCCAGGGGAGGAGGGCAGCAGUAGCCCACUGGCCAGGGGAGGAGGG
ensembl:lncRNA